AUCCAGCUGACUAGUCCCGAAUAGGACGAACAUGCACGUCCUGGAU
rnacentral:hammerhead_ribozyme from 1 species